AAUCCAAUCAUACUUUAUUUUUAACAUAUUUAGAACCCGUUUGGAUAGACUGUUUACAAACCGUUUGGCUCCACAGAAAUCAGCACGUCUGCGUUUUCAAAAUUCUGAUUUUUCACGUUUACAAAACAUUGCCAAGCUCUGCUUCUUCAGAAACGCAGAUUGGGUUACCGCAAUUUUUUUCUGCAGAAAAUCAAAAUCACGCCAAAACAAUAAUCGUUUUUUAUUGAAAUACCAGCUUUAUCCCUUCUCAUGUAUAUCUCCUCCGCUAUUUUCUCAGUUAGUCUAUGCUCCUUCAUGUAUAUCUGCUACCCUUUUCUCUCAGUCUCCACAGGCUCUCUAUUCUCUAUUCCUACUUCUGCUUUGAUUGGAGUCUUCGUUCUUCAUCUCGUUUGCCAUGUAACAAUUCUCCGUUCCUCUUUUGCUGAAUUUAUGCUAUAGAUUUGGGCUUUUUGCAUGGUGGGUUACACAUUGUUAGAAAUCUAAAUGUUAGAACUUAUUUUGAUUGAAGGAUUUUUUGUUGCUUUUGUUUUUGUUUCUGGGUUGUGGAUUUAUUUGGGUUUUUAGUUGCUUUUGAUACAUGCCCAUUUGGGUUUUGGUUAAAGUUGCUUCAUAUUUGUAGACACAGAUGUCAUUGAAAUCAGAAUUUCGUUAUUUAUUUUUUUUUUUUUUGGGGGGGAUUGAGAAUAAUAGGAUAAAGGUGUUUUCUUUAUUCUGUUUCUCAUUCAAGAAUCAAGAUUGUGUUUAUGGGCAUUAAAUAAAAAUUCAAUUUUUAACAGAUGUUUAGUGAUAAAAAGCUUGAUGUUGAUGGGUAUUCCUUGCUAUGUGUGUUGUUGGAUGGCCAUAUAGGAAUAAAAAAAAGGUGAAAUAAGAGGAUAUUCAAGAAAUUUCCCAAUAAAGCAUGGCUUAUGUUGAUUCAAGGAGAUGUAGGCCUUUGAUGCCCUUUUGAUAUCAGUUGAGGACUUUCUACAGGUUUUCAUUUUAUUAAAACUUUUGAUGGAAUUCUGUCUGCUAAAUAUACUUUUUACCCAAGUUUCUCCUGUCCACUUUCACUAUCUAAAUAAUGACAUGGCCCUAGAGGAAUAGUUGUAUCACACAUAUGAGAAGCACAUUAGAUGGGAUGGUAAUAGUGCCUAAUGUCUUCAAGGCUGUUGUCACUGUGGUAUUCUUUUAGCAUGCUUCAAAACUGUGACAGUUAAAUGUCUUUUUAUUUAUUCUUGAAGUUUCUGUUGGUAUACCAAGUCUUUGUACCAUAAUUUAUCUUUAGAUUAAUCCUUUGGCAAGGCUAAUGUUGCUCAAUUAUUCUUGAUACUAUUGUAUAUCUUUCAGUAGUAGUACUUUUAUUUAGAUUUGCAGAUGCUCUUUAAAAUUAUCUAAUCUCUGCUCUCUUACGAAAACACCAAAAGUUUCAGAAUUUCAGUUGAAUAUUCUAAUUUAAGCGGUUGUUUUCUUUUCUUCACUGAAUUUGUUUGUUGGAUUCAAUAUUCUAUUGAAAGAAUUGAUAUGUUGGAUAAAAGUGUUUUGCAACAAAUGUAUUCCACAUUUCCACUAAUUUCAAUCAGCUAUACCCUGUGACAUCAUCCUUUGGUGUACCAAUCUUUUUUUCACUGGAACGUGCAGCAGCUCCUUACUUUGGAAUAAAGGUGUGUUUUUUGUUGUUGUGGAAUCUCUUUUCGUUUGGAUAUAAUGUUGUAUUGAGACAUAGUUGACACCAGUAUCUGCAGUCCUAAUUUUUUUAAUUGCCUUUCAAAUCUUUAGGCACUUGUAAUUGAGUUGGUUCUAAAUUUUUUUAUUUAAAUUUUGUCCCUCUAAAAAGAAAAGAAAAAAAAAAGGUUGUUUUAUUUAGUUUUUAUGCAGUCAAUUGAGUAGCAAACUCAAUAGCGAAUACUUGGUAUCUUUCUGAUGCUCCACUUGCAGUUUGCAGAAAUAAUUAUUUCUUACUCAGUUAUUUAUUUUUUUCUUUGAGGACUAAAAUGCCUUAGACUGGACUCAAAAAAGGUGUUUCUGUCAUAAUUCCUACUUAUUAACGAAAAUAAAAAAUGGUGAAUGUUUAUUGUUCACCUUUUGCUUAUGAAUUGUUUUCCCCAUUCACCUCAGCUGAACUCAACCAUAUGUUUUUUUUCCUCUUCAUUAUCUGCUAACACGUAAUACUCCUCACCAGAAAAUUAGUAAAAAAAAAAAAAUGUCCUCAAGGAAAUUAUCAAUGAACUCUACAUUUACUACUACUUUGUUGAAGAGUUAAUUGAAUAUGUUUCUUUGUGAUGCUAGGUAAUUUAUUGUGAGUUUGGUUCGCAUGGGUUUUUUAGUGAAGUAGAUAUGCUAGAGAAUCAAUCUUGACAAAGUUUGGUGAUAGUUUCAGCCAAGGGAUUUUCAAAGAUAAGUGACUACGAAUUGAGUUUUUUGAAAUAAAAUUAGAGUGUGAAAUUUAUCUUAUAUAUCUGGGUUUUUGCUAAUAAAGCCUAUCAUCUUUAGGCCAAAUUGCAUCUCUUUCCUCCAUAAACAUGGGGCUGUCUGUGAGGUCAUAGUUUCAAUUCCAUGUGAGUGCACGUGAGUUGUAUUUACUAUUUACCUAUAAACAUAAAAUGGGUUUCUGCUAACUAAAAAAUGCUCAUACUUUUGAAGACAGUGAGCUCUUAGUGGUAAAGUUAAAAUUCUUAUUUUUACAGAGCUUACGUGAUGAGUGAGACCAAAUUCAAGCUCAAUUGCAUCGACAGCUUUCAUAUAUUUUAUGGACCAUCCGAAUUUUAGGUGUUACUUAUCUUUCUUUUCUCCUUUGUUUUUUCUUGUACGCUCAUCCUUUGUAUGUCUCCCACGCACUAAGGUUGCGCCCCCUUUUUGUCACUGCCUUUGAUUAGAUUCCAUUUUGUAUGUUUGGUGUCAAUUACUCAUGGAUGAUCGCCUUUGUGCUCAAUCACAGUCUUGUAUUUUGUUGGUGCAAACACAAUAAUAAUGAAAAUAAUACAAAAAGCAACUGGAUAAAAUACUUGUUCAUAAUAUAUUGAUUAAAUACAUAUACAACUAAAAAAAAAAAAACAAUUAAAUACAUAUGUAUAUAUUGUUUAUAAUAUAUUGAUUAUUAUAAUAAUAAAUUAUACUUUAUAAGGAAUUUAUAAAAGAAAGCAAUGAAAAGUAACAAAGCAUAUACAAACAAUGAAACAAAUACGUGCUGGCAAUCCUGGGGUUCGGAGUCCAAAGCCAAAUUAAUUCACAUCACAUAUUGCGGGGCUCACGGCGCUUGCUGACAAUGACAAAGCAAUUAGGCAAAGUAAGUCUUUCUCAGUUUCUUGUCGUGUAGAUUCAUUCAACACACAGAUGAAAAACUAUACUUUUAAGCAGAGGGAGAAAAAUGGAAAAAGGUCUUGACAUAAAUCUGAACGGAUGAAAAACGAAAAGAAGAAGGCAAAGCAGUGGCGACUGGCGAGAAGAAGAAAGAAAACUGGCAAAGCAGAUGGCAAAGAGAAAGAACUGAAAGAAGAAAAUAAGGCAAGUGAGACAGAGAGAGCCAGAGAGAGAGAGAGUCACCUGUGUAUGAGAUUUUUUCAAGAACUGUGUUCACAGUUCACUUGGUGCUUGGUGGUGCGGCACGUCAAUGAUUCAACAAAGUUUCAGAGCCAAAUUCUUUCUCAGCAUGGAAGAGUGCAAAGAAUGGGAAGUGGCUGCCAGUAGGGAUGAAGAAAUUCAGAAUAUUUUGGCUUCAUUAGCUAGAUUAGCUUAAAGAUAUGGGCAAUUACAAAACACAAUACAAACAAAAUUGCUCUAUCCCUCUUCCUCCCCCCUCCUUUGUGUAUGUUACUUCUAAUUGAUGCUUAUUAUCCAGCCACAAGAAACAAUUCCCACUUUACAAGGGAGUUCCGAGGGCGAGCACUUGGACAUAUGAGCAUGGAUUCUGAACUGCCAAGGAAGUAUGUGUUCCCUUUGUACAUUUAAUGUUGCCCCAAAUUUGUCCUUCAAAUAUUGCUCGGAUACCUUAUUAGGUUCUCCAUUUGGCAAGCUGUUGGUCAGUUUUGUUCUAUCUUUCUCUCCAUUAAUCUGUUGGUUUGAUUGUCACUCAUGAUUCAGAUCACUGACAAGGCCCAUUAAGCCAGUAGCACAACCCCUUUUUGAAGUUAUUUGCAUGGAGAAUGUGGUGUUGUAUGCUAGAGUAUUAUUGUGGUGAAGAUCUGAAAGAUGGCCUCCAAUGUCAUUCUUCAUAGCCUCACUGUCCUCUGUUUUCUCCUUGUCACUAUGCCUAUAUUGAAGCCUGAUUGUCCAUACUAUUUGUGGAGUUUGUGCAGAGUCUGGUAUAGAUUUUGGUGCUAAUACUUCAUAACUUAUGUAGUCUAGAGUUUAUUCAUUCAGAGUAGCAGGAGCUCAAGAAGGACUUCAGUGAUUUGUAAGGGAAUGCAAUUUGAUUUAGCAUUAUUUUUUAUUUUCUAUGUUAUGGUCACAUGGAGUAAAAAUUUGAGAUUUUUGAGAUCCCUAAUUUAAAGUGGACUGGGCUAUGUGAUAUUAAUAAGUUCCUACACAAUGAUAAUUUGUGGAUUUGAAAUUUGUGUGAAAGAUUACGCUUCUCUGUAGGAAAUUUGGAGGACUACCCCCAGAGGUUUUUUGGCUGGACUUCCUAAAAUCAUUGACAAUUGUCACAUUAAUUGGAACUCCGGUACUCUCUAUGCUUCAAAUGAUUGUCAACUAGGUCACAUCUAGCUCAUCUCAAGAUAAUCUUAAUCUGUUUGGCAAUUAUGAUUCAAAUCAAAGACAGGUCCUCUGGAUUUUACAAAUGGCAUAAGCCUAGCAGAUUAACACAAAAAACUUGCAAUGGAUGAUGAAGAAAGAUCAAGAUCAAUCUCAAAGAGAAAACCCCAUCUAGGUGGUCACAGAUUAACACUACUAGUCAUGAAUUCUCCCUCAUGACAGGGUUGCUAAAUGGGGAUGCAAUUGUGAUCUCGUUUGUGUGUACUGCAAGAGAAAGCUGGCGUCAAUGUUGGGCUGCGUAAGAUGGAUCCCAUUUACAUGAUCUGUGUGUCCUGAGCAAUGCUUCUGAAAAGUGUAUUCAACCUUCCUUGCACACAGAGCUAUUCAUGGUUCAGUGGCAAGGUAUAUGGAUUCACAGUUGAGCCUAUUAAAGGGAGACAUGCUUAUAUUCCAUUCCAUUGUGCAAUUGAGAAAUAGUGAGAAACAAAGCAAGGUCAUGAUAAGUGACAUGAUGUGGGCAAAACUACAGUCUUCAAAAAAUCAAUCGAGUUUCUUGAAGACUUGGACCAUACAGAUGUCCUUAAUCAGGGAUAGAAAGAAGGGAUGUACCACAAAUUUUAUCAACAAAUAGGCAGAACCAUUUGGAAGCAA